UAACCAUUCUCAAGCUACAUAAUUCUUAGGAAGAGUGUAGCAUGGAACUGAGUGUUCCCGGUAUGAGUGCCUCGGCGCUGUAACUGGGAGACUUGAAACUGAUCUCGCGGGAGCAGUGGUCAUUAAGGAUCAGCUCGUUGCAGGUGUACUAGUUGGAGGCGUCGCAAGACGUUUUCAUUCUUAGCACCAAUACGUAACGUUCAGAUCUGACAACUGUCACCGACGAACGCAGGAACUUGGAUGCGGGCGCAAGCCCAACUCUUAAU
rnacentral:misc_RNA from 1 species